GACGAACGCUGGCGGCGUGCUUAACACAUGCAAGUCGAACGGAAAGGCCCUGCUUUUGUGGGGUGCUCGAGUGGCGAACGGGUGAGUAACACGUGAGUAACCUGCCCUUGACUUUGGGAUAACUUCAGGAAACUGGGGUAAAUCCCGGUAAGAGGCUCUUCCUCCAGGGGGGGGGUGGGAAGGUUUCGGCGGUUGGGGAUGGACUCGCGGCUUAUCAGCUUGUUGGUGGGGUAGUGGCUUACCAAGGCUUUGACGGGUAGCCGGCCUGAGAGGGUGACCGGCCACAUUGGGACUGAGAUACGGCCCAGACUCCUACGGGAGGCAGCAGUGGGGAAUAUUGCACAAUGGGCGGAAGCCUGAUGCAGCAACGCCGCGUGCGGGAUGACGGCCUUCGGGUUGUAAACCGCUUUCGCCUGUGACGAAGCGUGAGUGACGGUAAUGGGUAAAGAAGCACCGGCUAACUACGUG
rnacentral:rRNA from 1 species